CUCUUAUGCUCAGGCUCCUCCCAUUGCAGAAGAGAGCUUUCUCCUAGCUGCCUUAGAAUGCCAGACUCUCCUGGUUGCCUUUGAUGCAGAACUCUCAGCUCCUUCUACAGCACCAUGUCUGCCUGCAUGCUGCCAUGCUUCCUGCCAUGAUGAUAACAGAUUAAACUUCUGAAACUAACUCCCGGAGACAGCUCAGCCUACUCGGCUAAGGGGACAAAAACAGAAAAUAGCCAGAUUACAGCAGUGGCUGGAGACACAAAAGACACUGUGCUCCUGAAUCCCCUGCAGUCACCUUGGAUUCCAGGAACAGCAGAACUUUGUAAGGUGGUACUGUCUACGUGCUACGUUUUAUGACUUGUAUGGUUCUUCCAUCAUGGAGUCAGUCGGGGCUUACUAAGGUCUGGGGCCCUAUGACAAGAUUACUGCUGCCCAUUAGAGCUCAUCUUAACUGCCUUUUCUUCCACUUGGCUGCUGGAGCUGAAUUCUGGACCCCUGGAAGAGCAGCAUGUAUGGUUAGCUGCUGAGUCAUCUCUCCAGCACCAUUUCCUCUUUUAUAACACAUAUUAAUGCUGUUAUUUUAAUAAAGUUUUUGUUAUAA